ensembl:lncRNA
CCAGACACCACCUGCCUCCUACAGAGGCGUCCUCUCGGGCCCUAUUGGCCGGACCUGGGUCAAAUGCCCUCUUUGCCUUCAGCCAAUCCUAGCAAAGUGGAAGGGGAGGACCGUGACUGAUUCCCUCCAGUCAAGAUUCAUUCCCUGGGAAUGGGCCACUCUCUCUGAGCACAUGGCAUCAGGAGACCAGAACGAUUUACAUUUUAUUUUUUGAUAUUACCGUUAUUCAGUGUAGAAGGAAGAAAUGACUGCUGGGGAAAAUACCAACAAUGUUUGCAACAGGAGGCAAGGAGGUCAAGGACCAAACGUCCAGGUGUAGAUAAUGGGUUGUCACUGUGGAUGUAGAAGUCACCGAAAUGACGACAGGGGUGUGGUGGUGCCAGCAGUGAGCGGGGCUAAAGUCUUCGCAGAGGACCACAGCGAUGGGGAAGGGGCAGACAACUGCAUCGGAGGGGUGAUGUGUGCCGUCCAGGAAGGUGCUUCCACCUUCUCAGAUGGGCAGCCUACUCCCUCGGUUGUCCCGGGCCCCUGGCGUGAGGACCGUGAGGACCGUUCCUCUUCUUUGAGUCUGCCUCCUCUGUCCUUGCCCCAGGCCGCAUGCAGCCCGCCCAGCCUGCGCUCGAGCUCCCUUUCCCGGGGUCCGUCCUCAGAACCCACCGUCAGAUGGGAAAAGCUGAGGAGCAAAGGGCUCAGUCCCGGCGUCAGGAUCCAGGCAUGCUUAGGGUCAUGGAAACUCCUGGGUAAAGCUUCGGCGAUGGGCGGGGCUCCAGGGAGGACCCAUACCAGGUGACAAAAAAGCCUGCUCCCUGCUGGCUCGCAGAUCCACGAGGGUCCUGCGUGCAUGAGGUUGGGCUGCCCUGCGUGGGCGGGUAACCGCCCCCACAUCCAGUGAAACGUGGGCUCUGCGAUGAAGGGGAGAGAGCUGGCUGCCGCUAGGGGCAAAGGAUGGGGGAUGGCGUCGGGCCAGUGGCUCAGGAGGGCAGUGACAGCUGCCUGGAGAUUUGCCGGCCGAGUUGCCUGGUGAUUAGCCACACUACCAAGACUGAGCUGAGAGCCACGUGGUGAUUGGCCAGGGGUGCGGCUGUGACAUCAGGAGGAGGGCAUUGUGACGCACAGGGAGGUUAUAAAAGCCGGGUGCCCGCCGCAGGCCUCACUGAGGGGACAGAUGGCGCCUCCCCCGAGCUCCUCCUGUUCUUCACAGUGUACUACACCGCCUUCUCCAGCCCAGGGGAUGGCCCACCCCUGGCCCGCUUGUCCUGCAGGGGCCUCUCGCGCACCUUGCGCUCCACCUUCAGGUCGGUCGGCCUCUGGCGCCUCGGCGGUGCCGCAAGCGCCUGCACUGGCACCCGGCGCCUCAGCAGCCUGCGCCCCGCAGCUGGGUGUCCCCGUUCUGCAGGGGGAAGUCAUGUGCGUGGAAUCAGAGCACAGCGGCUCCUCGCCCAGCCGGAGAGGGCCCCUCCCAGACCCACAGCGUCGCAACCGGGUUCAGCACAGGGGGCUCGAGUUCCUCGGACACUCAACAGACAUCCCACCCACCUCAGCAAUGGGUGAAUGAGGCUGCUGGACACCUGGUCAAUUGCGAGCCCCCACCCCAGCUCAACACAGAGCAAGCGAGUCCCCCAGACACGCAGCCCACCCCAGGAGGGCGCAGAAAAGGAGCCGGGGCGGAAUGUGGGCCCCCUCCUUGAGUGGAGGUGAUGUGAGCUUCACAAUGUAUGUGAGUUUUAAACUGUGUUGAAAUGCAAAAGAAGUGUCCCCGAGUGAUUGCGAUGUACAGCUCAGGGUCACAGGCACUGCACGUCCCAUGAGUCGUCACAUUCUCCAGCUGGUCGGUCCCGACAGGGCCAGUGUCUGAUCUGACUCAGAGCAGAGCCGAGGUGGACAGGGGUCUCCACAGCUCUGAGAAAGUGCCCGUGAACUAUAGAGAGCUGACACUGAGGACAACCUGCCCCUCCCCGUCAACACUUUUCAUACAUGUUGACGACACUGAAAGUCAAAGCUGCACUGAGGUGGGCGCCGUUCUGAUAAAUAGAAAAGCAAAAGCAGUGUCCGCACCGGCUGUUUCUUCCCAGACCACUUCUGGCCGAGACCUCCCAGCCAGUUUGUGGCAGACGUGGGCUCAGACCCGGAUGGGACCGCUCCAAGCUGCUUCGGCCCGCAGCAGGUGUCAUUUCCCAGGAUCCCCUGAGGGAGCCCAGGCUGUGGGGGCAAGCAAGGAUGGGCCAGUUCCACGAUGGGCUAGAGCGCUGCACUAACGUGAGAUGGGACGCACGUUCCCCACCUAUCCACUCCCCCCAAUUUCCUGCUUGUGAAUGACCUCUGCCCUCAUCCCCACCACCAAAAUGUAGUCGCAGAGGGAAAAUAGCCUGGUAGUCACCUCACCUGGAAGCCCCAAGGGCCAGUCUCUCCCUCUCCCUGCAUCAGCCUGGACCUGAUGUGUGGUGCUCCCACAUCCACCUGGGCGCUCCCUCAGGGAACUAGAGCCUUCACCAGCCAUUCCAGAACCAGGAUUCUCAUGGAGGGUUCUCCUUCCAGGCGGCCACCAGGGCCAUGCCCACACCCAGCCCAGCCUCUUCCAGGCUGCAAGCCUCAGGUACCUCCAAUAGAUUCCUUCUUGCUCAGAUUAUCCAAGGCCAGGCUCUUUGACCCAGGUGAUACAGAGCUGUGAAAUAAGUUGACUUUUCAUGUCACCCAAAUUAGACAGAAUGAGGGGAAUACCCUUGUUCCCCACAAAGCGUGGAUCAGGCAUUUCAACCCAAGUCUGUCUAUACCCAGAGUGUCUCCCCACAUGGUCAAUCAUAGCUGGCCCCACAGAUGGGGCAGUCUGUUUAUUCAGGGCUAAUCAAAAUAUAUCUUUGGGAAACUCUUAUGCCAAACGUAACCCUGACCCCUUUCUACACCAAAACGGGUUUCCUGAAAUGAAAAUGGUGGCCUGAACCACAUUCUCAAAGUCAGGGGUUUCAAUCCAGAAGACUUCUUCGGCUGAACUGAAGGUGAGCUCACCGUGUUCAUCUCACGCUCCUCAGUGUGGCAGCGGUGGGAGGCCUGGACUGGAGUGGGUAGCCCAGGGUGCAGCUGCAGCGAUGCCCCAGAUGCAGCUGCUGGACUCAGGGUUCUGUGGGUAUUGUGGGACAGUCAGCCUGGAGGGAGCAUCGCUGUGCAGAGCCUUGUAGAUGCCCCUGCCUUUGUAGACAUCUGCUUUCUUUUAUGAAAACAAGUGCAACUAGGCGGGCUGAGCCCUCUGUCCAACAUGGCAAAACGAGAGAUCAGAUUCAACGACAUGGGACCCAGGAGAAGAGGUGCCGGCUCUCUGGGCAAAUCACGGAAGUAAAGCUGAUGUUUCAAUACUCCAUUUUUGAAUAUCAGAUUUUCUAAUGCAAAUGUAAAAUAUAAUGUAUUCAUAUAACAGUUUGCAGUAAACUGUGUUUCCUACACCUCGGCAGGAAGGAAGACGUCCCCCCAUUUCUGCCCUGAUUGUCCCUGCUGUCCCCCUUGCUCUCCGCCAUCUGCACUCAGGGCCCUGAGGCGGCCUCUGUCCUGCUGGCCACAGGGAAAUGGAAUGGAUGUGUAGUAAUUUCUGAAUCAGAGCAACAUAGAUGUUGCUAAAAACACGAAAUGAGUUGAAAGAAGAGGCAGCAGAGAGGGAUGGAAGCUGAGGACUCUGUCCAUCGUCCACCCAUUUGACAAGGAUGACCGCAGGGCUUCUCCCGGCUUCAAGGGCAGGGGCCGUGCUGGGCACGGGGCGCAGAGGGGGCCUGGGUCUGUGAGACAACGCUACACGAACCUCACAGAGACGGUCACCCCAACUCCCCACCUGCUCUUCCUUCCAGUUGCUUACGCCCCAAAGUGUCAUCCUGCCCCCUCCUCCCCGCACAGCCCCCCACGGAGGCAUGCUAGCGGGUUGGCACCUUUCUAUUUUCAGAAAUAAGAACAUGAAGCUCAGUUCCGUUCACACUGUCACCACCUCAUCUAAGGAGGGAGAUUUUCCCACCCCCUAGGAAGGACACAACUUCAGAGAAAAGCCAGUCCCUUCCGAGAAACAGGGACAGGUGGCUGAUUGUCCAGGCCAGGCCCCUUUGAGGGUGAAGGGACGUUCCCCACCAUCAUAGGACAGGGGGACAACAGGCCUCACCAGUGGUCAGGCACAGAGGAUGUGCAGUCACCUGCCAGGAGAGGGCGCUGGGACGCAGGUGCCCUGCGGAGCCUGCUGUCCUGGAACCCACACGGAGAAGGUGCCUCAGGGGAACAGGUGUGGUCAGUGUGUCACUUGCUGAGGGGCCAGGAUGGGGGCACAGUGCGCACCAGCUGGUGGGGGUCAGGUGGUCCUGCUGGUCCCCUUGUGUCCCUCUUGCUGGUUCCGUGGGUCGCCCCCAGCUGCUGCAUCGUGGGCCCCUGCAGGCUCCUGCAGAGGACUGCCCUACGUGACGUGCCACUUAGGCCCAGGUGCAGGGAGUGGAAGCGACGGGCACUCAGGCUGCCCCCAGGUCUCCCGAGCCUUUGAGCCUUCGGCUGGCUGGCACUGGAGGAGGCAGGUGUAACUUGUGCCCAGGGCCCCACAGGAUCAGAUGGCACACACACACCACGUGGCCUCUGGGGUGCUGUGCAGUAGACCUGGCCCACUGGGAAGCAGCCCGCCAGCCCAGACCGCUUUCCACACUUAGGACGCCACCAAUCGGCGGCAAACGGGUUGAGCCUGGAGGAGAAAGCUCUCCCUACAGAGCCACAGCAGGUGUCCUGGAUGGCCAAGGGCUCUGCCCCAGGAUCUGUGCGCUCCUUCCACACAGUGGAACGAGUGGGACGGAGACGGGUGGAUCGGCAGGUGAAGGAUUUCCCACCUUCUGUGAUGAACAGGUAGCUGUUUGAACUACUCUGGUGUCCUCUAUUUAAAUAAGCUAAACUUCCCCUGCUUGUCACCAUCUCUGGUCUCAUGUUUCUACAACCACUUGAUCAUUUAGGAAAUCUCUUGGGUGACCUGUGACCAGUCAAGCCCUCAGCCGGCCUCAGGUCAGGUCACCUGCUGGUUGCAGGAGGAGAACUUCCUGGGCUGGGCUGCCUCCACCCCUGCUGAGGGGGCAGCUGCUGCCUCUGACGCCCUGUGUGCCCAGCUUCUGAGAGAACGGGGUCUCGGCAGUGCUGAGAGCCAAAGUCAGAGGCUCACACACCCCGAGCCAGGUCAGCCCCUUGGCCCUCAUCCCCCCUCAUCCCCAAACAGAGCCAGCCGGGACCCUGCAGGGGCUCCAGAACCAUCAGCAUCGGCACCACGGGAAUGCGGACCCGCCCGGGACCAGGAUGUCCCACCCUCAGAGCAGUCAGGGGUGGGGCCGGAGGAAAUCCAGGACAAAACAUUUGGAGAUGGAGUGUGGUAACAGCUGCUGACCUGUCCACCAGGCAAGACCCUCCACCUGCAAAAAGAUUAUGACUCAUUAACAGCUCAGAUGGUGGUUAGCAUUUUUCAGCAAUAGAAUUUUUUAAUUAAGAUGUGUACAUUGCUUUCUUAGGUAUAGUGCUAUUGCACACUUAAUAGACUACAGUGUAAUAUAGACAUAACUUAUACGCACUGGGAAACCAAAAAAUUCGUGUGACUGGCUUUAUUGCGGCGGUCUGGAACUGAACCCGUAAUAUCUCCAAGGUGUGCCUGUAUUCGGUCGGCCAAUCCCCAAACACCAAGCCAACUCUGGCCCUUCUCACGCCAGACAAGGUUGACUAUGUGGCCACAGCCAAUCAGAUAUUUUCUAUUUGUCUCUUCCUUGUUCUUUAUUCUUUAUCCUAUAAAAUCUUCUUGCCUUCUGCUCCAUUGUGCAGUUCUCCUGAGGGAGACUGUCCACUUCAUGAUGUGUUAAAUAAAGUUUGUCUGUAUCACCUAAAUUGUCCUCUUUAAUCUCUUUUUUAACACAGAUUAGGGAUGCCACAGGAGAAAAUUAUGUGUGACGUGAAAGGAGGAAGUCAAGCAGUGGCCACUACCCUUGCAGGGGAACGUGGGAAGCCAGGCACUAUGAAACCUGCAUACGUCACUGACCUGCUGUCCCCUCGGCCCCUUGUCUUGUGUCAGGUGAGGGUCUGCGGCCAUGUGGUAAGGUCCCAGCCUCUUCUACAGGUUGCCUGCAUUAAUGAAGCUGAAGGGACACAAGACAGACAUGAUAUGUUUGCCUUCAGGGGCUCCAGGUUGUCCCUGGAUGUGCCAGCCUGUCCUUGCUCUCCCCCACUUCAGACCCAGACUCAAUGGCCUUCCACAGGCUUUUCACUAUUGCCUUGUCACUUACAAAGCUUCUACUUCUAUGAUUGAACUCUGAUACAGAAUCAUACACCUGUGUAUCUCCCUGUCUUAGCUAGAGACUGAUUGUUUGUAGAGAACAUAACCUUCUCAGUCUAGCUUUCUUUAAGGAAAGGUAUUCCAAAAAGAAAAACGGGCAAACCACUUGAAAAGGUACUUUACAAAAGAAGAUACUAAAUCUCUAAUAAAUACAUGAAAAGGCACUCAACUCAUUAGGGAAAUGCAAGUUGAAACCCUAAUGAAGUAGCACACCCACCGGAAUGGUGAAAAUUAAAAAGAAUGGCGAUUCUACAUGUUCACAAGGAUGUGGAACGACUAGAACUUGCAUACCCAGCAAUUCCACUCCCAAGACACCACAGAGAAAUGAGAGCAGAUAGCCACCAAAAGGUAAAUACAACAAUGUUCACACCAGUUUAUUGGUUAAUAUUAAAAAGAAAAAACUGGAAACAACCCAGUGUCCGUCAGUGAAUAAUGAACAAAUAAAUAAAUUGUGGUGUACUCAUAUAAUGGAAGACUACACAGCAGUUUAAAAAAAUCUAAAACUGUUGACACACAACAUGGAUGAAUGUCACAGAAACUUAGUUGAGUGAUGGAAGAUAAGUGCCACACAGCAGUCUCGACUCAUUCCUCCUGAAUGAGUGACUAGCUGGUGCUGAAGAGGACCUGAAGCUACGACGUGCUCACAUCGAUGUGAAGACAAAAGCCAGUGCCCAACAUGUUUCCAUCAACAAGCUGAUGCCCCUUGGAAGCUCGCUGGAUGUUCUUUUAACCUGUUCCACCUGGACAGCUGGGGAGAUGUGGCAGGACUUGAGGUCUGGAUUCAGGACUCCACCCUCAGAGGGUUCUCUGCUCAGUCCAAUUCAGGCCAUAAGACUCAAGAACCAGACAUUCUGUUUAAUUCCAGUUCGAAUUGCCUCCCCCCAGCUCUCCUAGAGGCCUAGGAUUUUGAAGAUCAGAAGCCAGAAAAGCUGACAGGCUAUUCUAUUUUCAGUCACACCACAUGCCUUGCUAAUCCCUUGAAGUACUAAGUGAGUACUGUGAAAGUGAGUACUGCUUGAAUGGAGGAGAAAAAAAAGGAAGAAAAUACAGGAAUAUGUUUGUUAAGUAAGUGUGUUGGGGCACAAUUCUAAGAUGACCCCACGUGACCCUUGCGCUUGUACAAUGCCCCUCUGUGAGUGGGUAGAACCCGUGAACACGAUGAGAUAGCACCUCUGGGACUGGGUUACGUUGCACUUGAAGAUAGGGAGAUCGUCUGGGGAGCCUGGCCUGAUCACACGAGCCCUGGGAAAGUAGCUUUCUCUGGCUGGCGGCAGAAGAAGAGGCAGGGAUUCAAAGUCUGAGAGUGAUUCCAAGCCAGGGAGGGUCUCCAGCGCUGCCUUUGAAGAUGGAGGGGGCCACAUGGUAGACCUCUGGGAGCUGAGAGGACCCCCACCUGACAGCCAGCCAGGAAGUGGGGCCCUCAGUCCUACAGCCACAGGAGUGGAAUUCUGCCUCAACAUGUCAGCUUGGAAGAGGGUCCGAGCCUGAGACAAGACCCGGGCCCAGCUGACCCCUUGACCGCAGCUUCAGGUGAGCUGAGAACCUGCUACACUGACCUGCAAGAAUUCUGACCUGUAAGCUUACCAGUGGAUGUUUUAAGUCACUAAGUCUGUGGUAUUUUGUUACUCAGCAACUGAAAAUUAAUACAAUAAGUUACAAUAUGAAAAUAUUGUCCAAACGGAUGUGUUUUGUCUGGCCUGGUUUAUCUACAUUGCAUGCCCCCUGCCAACAAUUAUUUCUCAAAGGGAAGAGGCUGAUGGUUUAAGGGGCUCAGUAUGUAGCCCACCAGACGCCAGGCUCCAGUGACACUAAACAGGCUCCCGGGUCAGCUGCUGCUGGCUCCCAGUGCCCUAGAAAGCUUCUGUUAAGGGACAGAGCCACAUUCAGGUGUCCCGAGCAGCAGGUGACUUCUGCAGAAAGCAAUAUUUAAAAGUCUCACCGUGCCAUUUAAGACUCUUGUGGUGAAAAGGAGAAAACUGAGUGUCAGGAAACCCAGCUCUGCCAUUAGCCAGCUGAGCAAAUGUGGGCAAGUUGCUUUACCUCUCUGAGCCACAAUGCCUCAUCUAGAAAAUGAGAGACACAGACUAGGUGGUCUCAAAGGCCCAUUAAGACCUUUCAUGCUUCCAUUUAACAAAUGCUUGCUGAGGUCCUAGUAUGUGCCAGGUCCUGAGCAAGGCGCUGGGAACACAGCUGUGAAUUAGACAGAACCUGUGCCCUCACUGGGCUCCGAUUUCCCAUGGGAGUAUUUGACAGUCCACACAGGGAAGAGAGGACUCCCACUUAGAAAACAGUGGGUGUUUUAGGCUGCCACAGUCCCCACUAGCUUCAUCCUGCCUUUUCCGGGUGACGUCUCAGCUCGGGCCCACCACACCAGGCCAUGAAGUCCUCACACACCGAAACCAGAGGAGAGCCGCAACGGUCCGGUGCAAUUUGGAAGAAGAAAGGCUUGAGGAAGGGCAGAGACUCCAGCUCAUUCUACUGCAGGACUUUGGGCAAAACCCGCCCUUCAUUUCAUUUGGCCACUGAAGGACUAAUCAAAAAUAUUUAGAAUCAAUACCAACCUUUGAUUAGGUCAAAAUUGUUAAAGAGGCAACUUGUUCUCAGCUAGCUGCCAACUAAUUUUGAUUAAAGCGAGAGCCAAUAGCUCGACACUUUUAUGGAAUUUCAGAAUCUCUGGGGAAGUGCCCUGAAGGGUAAAGCCGUCUCAGAAAUCUCUCUACCACCUUCUUGCCAAGUGGUUUUCCAACUCUCCUCAAGCUCACUGCUUUCCUGGGCAGCCCUUGUGGACCAUGCUGUUUUGGAAAGCUGGGUCUUUCCCCAAGCUGAGACCUGGGUCCUGGCAGGCUUUUUCCUAUCGCCCUGCUCGGCUCUCCUGUGUGUGCACAUAAGCCAGUGUCCUCUUCACGUGAAUCCCUGUGGAGGGCUGCUUUCCUAUCGUACUUUCUUCCUCCAAGUCAGGUGGCCAUGGUUCUUCCAUCCAUUUUUCCAGUUUUGUGACCUUGAGUCCCCUCAUCAUUCGCUCUCCUGCAGACACUGCUGGCUCACCAGUCCCCUCCAUGGAGUGUGGUGUCCAAAACCCAGCUAUGUGUGGUUUUUCACUAAUUAGAUCAGGUUGGUCCACUUCCUGGAUGUGGUACGUUGGUUAGUGCAAACUAAUACUGUAUUAGUUCAUGUUAGCAACCAAUCACAGAUAGCCCACAACUAAGCAGCUAAAACCCCAAAGUCCUUUUUCAACAGGAUUAUUUUGAUGGGAAGUGAUAAGACACAACUCAAACUGAUGCUGAAAAGGAAAUUUCUUGGCUCACCUUACUUGUGAAUUUCAAGGGUUGAAUGUAGCUUUAUGCAAGGUCUGUCUGCAGCCGGGUCUUUAAUGAAAGUGCCGCAGUUCUGUCUGUCUGUCUCUCUCCACGCCAUGCCCCGGUUCUGCUGCCUCAAUUGGGUCUGAUACUCAGUCAAGUCCUCUCCAGAGGGAACCAAUGGCCCCAGUUGCUCCAGCCUCCCAUCCUACCAGCAGGUUAGCACCCCCAGUGAAAGAGUGCCUCUUUCCCAAG